rnacentral:lncRNA from 1 species
UUGAUUGUUUGUUAAUCGAAUUUCGCUAGAGCACGGUGUGGUUUGGAGAGAAAAAGUACAAAUAACAUCAAGUUGAAACAAAUAUGAAGCAACACCAGGAUUCUAAAUCCAUGAAGUAGAGACAACAACGAUGCUAUAAUUUCCUCAUCUUCUCUUAUUCAAGCAAAGAAUUCCAAAGGAAGCUCUUUUCUGGGUAUACAUUAGUUAGGACUGACUUCAAUCUGCUCGUUUCCACCUUUUGAAUAUCAAUUGCCAGAGUCAUCGAUAGUUGCUGAUAACAAACAAAUAAAAUCAACUGCGUGAAAAGCUUAGAAAUUACUGGAAACUUGAAACUAAUAUGAAGAAGCAUAAUACCUUUUUGAGCCACAUCAUAUAAGUUGCAGCAAAGGUUGCUUGAGCUUGAUAGUCCUCAAAGUCACUAUCAUAUACAUUUGUGCAGGAACGGAAUAGUUCUAAUUCAUUAUCUAUAAGUAUGUCAAUGUCAACUGUCCUAAUGUUUCUCUGGUUAGAAGACAAGGAUCUAUCAUCAUCACCGCAUGCAAAAUAUCUUAUCCAGCAUGUCAAGAGGAAACGGCGAUGAAGCCACAAUGCCUGACAGGAAAACAAUAACAUGAGACGGGUUUCUUUCAAGCUUUCAAGCUUGUCAGAAUUCAGAAUAUCUUCAUGAAGCAAAUUAAAGAAAAUCGAGAUACAGAUAACAGAUAAAGCACUUAGGACAGAUGCAAUCAAAUUUUGUGCAUGGAACUGAUCAUAUUUUUUACAUUGAGGCAUCAGAUUUGGGAAUCUAUAACAAAACAUCAACAUGAACAUUCUAUUGAUCUCAUUAAGGAGUAUUAUAGAUGAAACAGAAGACGAUUCAAAUGAAGAUAAUCUCCAUAAAUUUCCAAGAGAUGUGUGUAUAUCCACUCCAACACCUUACUGUCAAAUUAGACGUUUCACUUACUUUUGUAAACCUACAUAACUUAGUGUGCAACAUUAGAUGAUUGACAGGAAUGCCACGACUCUACAUGCACCAAAGAACUGUCUGCCAAGACUUCAGGAAACUUUCAAACAUCACUAAGUCAUAUAACCAAAAAAAUUGUUAUUGUGAAAACCAGUGUGAUAUACAUACCUCUCUCCCCACAUAACGUUUUAUCAGCUUCUCCACCCAGUUGAACUCAUCCUACCAGCAGACAUUGAACCCAAAAAGAAAAAAAUUAGCAAAUUGCAAGACGCGGCUUCGUAUUUGUCACUAGAUGAUUUACUGUUUUCAGAACCAACAAGAAUGAAAAGUAACACAUUUUCAAUCCAGAUAUUACUUCAGGAUUUUGGCAUUUAACACUAAAAGCUUCAGAACUAGUUGAGCAUUUUACUAGAACUUCCCCACCUCCACAUCAGGAACUUUAAUUUUCGAUCCUUUUUUUCACACUGAUCAUUCCUGCAACACCGUAAUGCAGUUUACUAGAUAAAGGCAUUUUAGUGGAACUCAUAGUUGGCUAAUUAAGGUUGAGCCUCUGUGAUUUUCUGAGGAGAUUAUUAUGAAAUUUUUUAGUGAAAAGCAUGUAGUUUUCAAGGCUUCUCCUAUAAGCAUCUUCUGAGUUCAUUGUUAAAAUAGAAUCUUUACACAAAUGACAAAUGCCAUUCUUUUUUAAAUUAUUAUAAUUAUAUAUAGGGUGUAGGAGAAGGGGAAAUGGGGGAGGGGAUUACAUGGUGGAGAAUCGAACCCUCACCAACAAGGUGAAAGUUCAAGUAACCAACCAACUGAACUACUAAGAUUCCCCGACAAAUGCCAUUCAAUUUUGAGGAAACAACCACAUGAGCAAAAGCAUACCUUCAACAAUUCAUGAAGUUCUGGAUGAAAGCUAGCAUCUCGACCCUUGUUAUGCUGUGAUUCUUCAAACAGACGAAGCAUCAACCGCUGUGUAGACCAAUGUACCAAAAUAAACAACAUUAUACCUCCAUGCCUUCCUCUAUUUGAACUUUGAAUGGAACAAGCAGUUUCAGAAACCGUUAUAUAUUUUAUGGGACUAGGUUUGAUAGGUUCUUUCAGUGUUACCAAGCAAAAGAGACAAGCAAAUCAAGAUUCUGAUGGAAAAAAUUCUAACAUAUAUUACAAAUGGACAUCAGUAAAGCUUUUCACCCUCUAUAAGCAAAGGGCAAUUACACGAUUAGUUCACAACCAGCCAGCAGCAUUUGCCAAAAGCUAAGACGAAAAUAAUAGCUCCGUGAUGGAAACUCACCGCACGGUAAUGAAAGCAAGAAUUAUCAGCAACAUGGAGCACAGCCCAGUGCCGUGACUUGUCAAACUCCUGCAGCACCUGGAUGCAUGAAUUGAAAUCCAUUUGUUAAGAAUUAUAUAUACCAUAAUGUAUAUAUAAUAAUUCAAAGAGAUGAGUGCCGCGGAGAUGAUUGGUUGGGGCUUAAGAAAAUGAGCCCAUCUUCAAUGGAAGAUCAGGAAUAUGUAAGACACUUUAUCACAAAUCUAUAAGAGACUAUGACCACUGACAAAACUUUGCCUUCUCUGCAUAGCCAGUGAAAUGGCAGGAAGUCGCAAAAGAAAAAAUACCACGAACCUUUCACUCACCUGUUCCGCUGACAUGUAGGAAACUAACCAGCAACGGUGAUUCCAUGCACGAUAGUUCAUUUUUGAUCUCUGUAACAACAAUGAGAGCCAACUUAGAUCUCAGGGACUAACUUGCAGUAAUGAGUACAAACAUUGGAAAUAGAUUAAUCCAAGUCAGAGUGGAUGAAUACAAGUGAGCCAGUAAUUGUUCUUCAAGUUUAACCAGAGGUCGCACCUAACAAAGCCAAAGUCCAAACUACCACAUAAACCCCCCCCCCCCCCCCAAAAAAAAAACGAAGAGAGAGAGAAAGAGCUUCUCUCAAUUAUUUGGAAGGAACUUCAGGUAUUAGAAUUACCAAAAUAAUUGAAUUAUGACAUUAGUAGGAACAACUUGGACAUUAAUACAUCCAAGUCAUUCAACUACAACACUUGGUAUGAGCCCACCUAUUCCGGCCUCAGUGGGCAGAAUUAUCUCAGUGAAGCUUGUGAACUGAACAAGUUGUCAACAUGUGCACAUUGGUUCAGACAGCACAAAUAUUCCACACAAAAAAAGUAGAUUUCCGGGAAUGAUAAAGCUUUUUUUUUUUUU